rnacentral:lncRNA from 1 species
GGGAAACGCUUUUGGAACAAGUUGGAUUGCUCCGAAUUUCAGUGCCUAUCGGGCAGCCAGUGAACAUUUGUCCAUCUUUAAGGCAUUAAACUGAGAAGAACCACUGAGGAAAGCAUGCCACAGUCUUUCCCAAAAUCCCUGUGUCUUAAGGAACAACCAAGAAGUUAACUGGUCAGGGAAAAGAUUUCUUUUGGAACACAGAAGCCAUCGCUGUGUGCGGAAAUCCAUGACCUGGCCAUGACUUCUACAACCCGGAGGACUUGCCUGGCAUUACCGAAAAGCACAGGGGAAAGAUUCUGUGGCAGAGAAUGAUGGGAGUUGUGAUCCAUACCUCCGUGUGCAUAAUGGUUGUACCUGCUCCAGGAAGGCGCUGGAUCCUCCCAACUCCAUGGGAAGAGAUUAGGACACAAACAACAGACAGAAGGUGACCACAGGAGGACACAGUGAGAAGCUGGCCAUCUGCAAGCCAAGGAGAGAGACCUCAGGAGAAACCAAACCUGCCAGCACCUUAAUCUUAGACUUCUAGCCCUCAGAACGGUGAGGAAAUAAAUCUCUGUUGUUCAUGCCA